rnacentral:rRNA from 1 species
GAGUUUGAUCGUGGCUCAGGAUGAACGCUGGCGGCGUGCCUAACACAUGCAAGUCGAGCGAAGCACUUCAUUAGAACUCUUCGGAGGGACGAGGAAGUGACUGAGCGGCGGACGGGUGAGUAACGCGUGGGGCAACCUGCCUUACACAGGGGGAUAACAGUUAGAAAUGACUGCUAAUACCGCAUAAGACCACAUUGCCGCAUGGCAGGGUGGUAAAAACUCCGGUGGUGUAAGAUGGGCCCGCGUCUGAUUAGGUAGUUGGCAGGGUAGAGGCCUACCAAGCCUACGAUCAGUAGCCGGCCUGAGAGGGUGGACGGCCACAUUGGGACUGAGACACGGCCCAAACUCCUACGGGAGGCAGCAGUGGGGAAUAUUGCACAAUGGGGGAAACCCUGAUGCAGCGACGCCGCGUGAGUGAGGAAGUAUUCGGUAUGUAAAGCUCUAUCAGCAGGGAAGAAAAUGACGGUACCUGACUAAGAAGCCCGGCUAACUACGUGCCAGCCGCCGCAGU